rnacentral:rRNA from 1 species
UACGAAGGGUGCAAGCGUUACUCGGAAUUACUGGGCGUAAAGCGUGCGUAGGUGGUUGUUUAAGUCUGUUGGGAAAGCCCUGGGCUCAACCUGGGAAUUGCAGUGGAUACUGGGCGACUAGAGUGUGGUAGAGGGUAGUGGAAUUCCCGGUGUAGCAGUGAAAUGCGUAGAGAUCGGGAGGAACAUCCAUGGCGAAGGCAGCUACCUGGACCAACACUGACACUGAGGCACGAAAGCGUGGGGAGCAAACAGG